GGUCUAAUAGUGUAGAGGUUAUCACACGGGAUUUUGAUAUGGUGACUACUCGGUGUAUUUGACUUCCCGUAACCCAGGUUCGAGUCCUGGUUAGACCU